rnacentral:lncRNA from 1 species
CUUCAGGUUACAUGAAACUUUAGCGGCUUCGCAUAAAACCUCAUAAGGCUCUAUUCGGUUGACAGGGUUGUGAAGGGGUUUUGGUAGGGAUUGAGAUGGAUUUAAUCCCCUACAAGUCAAAGUCCCUCCAAAUCCCCUCCGGUCCUCUUACCAAGGGUGUAACCGAACAAGGCCUAAGAGAUGGUAUAUAUACAUCCUCUGGGACUAACUAAGUAGCUACUCCGGUGGUUUCUCAGUGGUGCCUAGGGCUGUGAACACUUGGAACAUAAUAGUCUUCCUGGAACUCCGGCAACCCGUGCGCCACUGCCUUCACUUGGCUCGCAGCUUCAUCGGCGCUUCUCGUCGUCUUGCCU